CUUAGUGAUGCUGCCAGGGGAAGGGUAGCAACCAUUAGGAACAGACAAAUAAAUAUUCAGUCUCUGUGAGCAUCACAACCUGCAGAACAAAAGAGAUAAUGGCAGAUCCUUCAGUGGUGGAUCACCUGACACGACUGAAACUCAGACUCCUAGAAAAGAGACUAGAAAAUGAGCAAGAGAACCUCGAGAAGAUGGAGUUGUCUCUCCCAGCUGCAAGGAACAGAGUUCAGGACAUGCUCCAAAGUGCCCUGAGGCAAAGGAAAGAUCUGCUGCAGGAGCUUAGGGAGCAGCACCUUCUGGAAGAGCUUUCACAGACACCUGCACCAGCUGGGGGACAUGACCACAGAGCUGCCCUCCCACAAGUCUACCAGAUCCCUUUUCCAGCUUCCCAGGUGGAGCCACCAAGGAUUAUCCAGCAGACUAUGCCAGCUCAGCCUGCCACCAUCAUCCAGCAGCUGCCUCAGCCAUCCCCUCUGAUCACGCAGAUUCCCCCGGCCCAGCCCUUGGCUGUCCCCCGAUCUGGGAGCAUUAAAGAAGAUAUGGUGGAGAUGAUGCUGAUGCAGAAUGCUCAGAUGCACCAGAUCAUGAUGCAGAACAUGAUGCUGAAGGCUCUGCCACCAGCACUGCUCACACAGCUUGGGGGAGCCAGCUCUGCCCUGCCCCAGCACAUGCAGCAGGACCCGGCCAUGAGAGCAGACAGGCCCAAGGCACCUGUGGUGCACCACCACCACCAUUACCCCCCAGCAGGGGUGCUCCCAGAGCCCCCCAGGAGCUUCCUGUCGCCAUCCACGGCGCAGCACUGGACCAGCAGCUCUGCCCAGCCUAUGUAAGUCAGCAGGCAGCUGGGCCAUGCACCUGUGGCCCUUUCUCCCUGCCCAGGUGGGGUGGCAAGGUGGAAUAAACCUGGGGAUGUCACAAGGAUGAGGAUGAGAUGGCACAGAUCAUUGCUCUGCUCUGCAGGGGCUCUCACCCUGUGGUUUUGGGUGAGCUGUGAGCCCAGCAGUCCCCCUGCCCUGGGGGCACAGGGGGAAGUGUUUUACCUUCAGGCUAAGGUUCCCACCAGGAUUUAUGUUCUUAAAGCACUGCUGGGACAUUUGCUAAUGAGAAAUUCCUGGGGAAAUAAAAUACCCAAACCAGCAGCUAAGAAAAAUAGUACAAAGGGAGGGGAGUAUCAGGAAUAGUGCUGAGUCUUUGCCAUAAGCUUGUGCUUGCAGUUGAAGGGGGUGGGUUUCAAGUGCUGAAAUGGAUGAACUUCUCCCCAGGAUGCUCACAAAUCCACAGAGCCCUUGAGCCUUGUGCAGAGGCUGCAGGCAGCUCCUCCAGGAGCUCAUUUGCUUUGUGCCUUCCUCUGAGCUUGUCCUGCUUGGCUUCCUAGGUGCUGGGAAGUUCUUCCAUGCCAAGGCUGGCAAAGAAAUGAACCUUGCUAGAGCAUGGAAGCGGGGGUGACAUUGGGACACACUGUGAGAAGCCAACCUUUAUUUCUGUGCCAUGGCUCUUUCAGAGCCUUAGUGAACAGGGGAACAGGAUGGAGGCAGCUGCAGCCUUGGGCAUGGGUGACCUGCUGGCAGGGAUGUCUGUACAGCCCUCUUUAGCAAAGGAUUUGAAUUCCUGAACAGAUUAUUUACCUAAUGGGAUUAUAAGGGAUGAACAUUUCUACCCAUUUCCCCUUGACACGGGUUUGUAAUCUGAACCAGUAAAGAACUCCUGGCUCCUGUCAGGAUCAGUGCAAUUCACUGUUUGCAGAAAUCAGAUCUUGCCAUGGCCUUUAAACCAUGUUCUUCCUCUUCUUCAGCUGCCUCCCACCACAAGGUGGCCCACAUACUGAGAAUACAGGAUCCUCUGCAAGUGGACCAUAGACUUUCUAAAAACAAUAAAAUCCUGAAGUUUUCCUCA